rnacentral:lncRNA from 1 species
UUCUUCUAUUCUUUUCUCUCUAUACGUUGGUGUUCCAACCAAUAAUCACCAAAGCGAUGUUCUGUCCGAUCGAUUCAGGAACCAACUCACGAAUACCAAAGUGCUGUACUUUGUGAAUUCCGGUAAACGGAAUCCAAAGUGUUGUACUUUGUGAAUUUCGGUAAACGGAAUCCAAAGUGUUAUACUUUGUGAAUUUUGUUAAGGUUCGAAUCUCAUGACUAUCGUUAGGUUUGAUGUGGUUUUACACUAAUACGUAUUCCACUCUGUUAAACUACCCGAAACUUUACACCAUACUCCUACAAUCAAAAUAGAAGCUGAAUCAUCAGAAGGUUCAAAACAAUAAAGUAUAUGCUUAAUUAUCAGAAGGAGUAGAAUCAAGAAGCUUGUUAAAUCAAUACUGCAUGCUUAUACUAUGAGUCAUUCUCUUUUUACCAAAUCUGCUUUCAAAAUCAUGUUUGUUUUCAAAGUUAUAAUUACAGGGAUUAAGUCUUUGUAGUCUUCAAUUACUGCCGGUAUGUGUGGUUUUGUAUACAUAACUUGUUUCCCAUCACCAUUGGACAACGAGUUAGCCAAUGGGUGAUCUGACCAUAGUCACAGAUAUAGUCGAGUGACAAAUACCGAUUUGGGGUAACUGGUUGAUAUAAACAAUGUAAUCACCCUUAAUACUGUAAGUUAUAACAAAGUUGUAAUUGCAGUGAUUAAGUCUUUGCCAAUCUUGAAGAAGCAAAUGUAAAAACUCUUAAUGUUGUAAGGACAGUAGAUUGGAAUAAGGGUGAUGAUACGGCAUCGAAAGACUUAAAGAAGUGGCUUAGUUUAUCAAUUAAAUCAAGAAAUUUUGUUUUAUGCAAUCAGAUUUAUUCUAUAUUAAAGUUACCUUUGUAAAACUUGGGUUUUAUCCCAUCUAGUAAAUAAAUAAAAUCCGGUGUUU